rnacentral:misc_RNA from 1 species
AGCUGCAGCAGUAGUACUCCCUAUGUACUACUUCCUCCGUUUCACAAUGUAAGUCAUUCUAGCAUUUCCCACAUUCAUAUUGACGCUAAUGAAUCUCAUUAGCGUCAAUAUGAAUGUGGGAAAUGCUAGAAUGACUUACAUUGUGAAACGGAGGAAGUAUAAUAUAAGGGAUUUUAACUUUUUGCUUGCACUGUUUGACU